GCCAUGGUGGUCUAGCGGUUAGAACGCUGGCCUUGUAAUCCUGGGGUCUCGGGUUCGAUUCCUGGCGGUGCCC
rnacentral:tRNA from 1 species